UACUGUGUGAAUUGGUUAAUUUUGAAUGAGAAAGGGAAGUUCUAGGAAGAAAAGCACAAUAUUGUGAGGCCUUGCUUAUGUUUUGUUAUCUUCAGUCACAUUCCUUAUUUCUAACAGAGUUGAUGACAUAGAGUUUCCCAGGAAUUCUUUAAUAGUUCUGGGUGCUGAUUUAUGCUGAAUCUCAAGGGUUUGCUAUGAAGGGGAUGUUGGAUUAGUGGAACAAUAGCUAAGUAUAAUUCUUGGCCAUGUUAUAACAAUUCAUGAGAUGAAAGUCUGGCUCCAGGAGAUCAAAUAGUGUCUGCCACAGAAAGAAUUUCCUAGAGGAUGCUCUUCAGACAUGUUAUCCACAGAUCUGAGUAGAACGGCUAUGUAAAAAGUUCCAUAUGAAGGAAAAGAGAUCAGACAAAGGGUCCAUACUUGAAUAGUGAGCUAAGUAUUCAGGAAGUUUGCUCUUCUGUUAAAUAUUUUCUGACAUGGGAAAAAAGUCAAUAAGAACAGAAAGAAAAAAAUUUAGAUGUAUCCCUCACAACAAAAUUUGGUCUAUCUUUAUAAAAUAAGGGUUUGAAAAAUGUAUGUAUUUUGUCUUAACAACAUAGGUACUCUAGGACUGUUAAAAGCUGUGAAAAAUGUUGACGUAUUUUAAAGAUCUGAAUUUUAUUUAUCAGCACUGGAAACAAAAUGCUACUUCGUUACCAUCAAGACUUUGGAUAUAAAGAUUAUAAUGAUAAAAAAAUACAUUAGGUUUGUUAUCAGAAAAGCAUCACUUUUUGUGAUUUUAAUGAAGUGGAUCACAGUUAAUCUGUGGCAGAUGUAAAGUGUAAGGUAUCCUCAGAUACUUUACUGUGUAAAGUAUCUGAGGAUGCUUUACACACACAAGACUGCUUCUUCAAAGGUGAAUUCAAAAGUGAGCCUAAAUGAGAAUUUGGGUACUGAAAAUUUAAGAGAGGGCUGGUCUAUGGCUAAAUUUGGGGCACUUUUCUCCCCAGUUCUUGUUUGCUGGUGAGCUAAAUAAUUCAUGGUUUUAAUUUGGUUCAUGAAAUUCUUGGCAAUUUUUAAACUUAUUAGUAGUUAUGGCUGAAUCUAUACAUAGACACCCGAGUUGCCUAGUACCUAUGUGUGAUUUAGGAAUUACUUCUCUUUGUCUUAGGUAUGGAAAUCUCCUCUCCUCUGACACUCCUGUUUCUGGGGAUGUCUGUAAGCACCAGGAUCUGGGGAAUGAAGUCGAUGGACCCCUGCCCAGGCUCUCAGUAACCCAGAGAAAACUGGGGUGUGACAGAGAUAUUUCCCAUCUUAGAAGUUCUCAGCUCCAUGAGGAAAUGGUGAUACAGACUGGUUUGGGGUUUCACUGACCCAUUAGGGGAGCUGGGGGCUGCAGGCUCAGGCAGCUCAAGAAAAGCAGGUGUAACUCUGGCAGCUUUCUUGCGACAAGGGAGGAGAUGGGUGGCAUUUCUUCUUCCACUUUGCUCUGUCACAAAGGGAGAGGACAACGAGUGUAUUCAAGUGAGCAAACAUGUACAGAUAUGAACAUCUCAGAUGUCACAAAUGCCUUGAAAUUAAUUACAUGCAUAGAGUCACAGUGGCUAACCAGUGGUAGCCCAGACCUUUCAGAGCAUUGCCCUCAUCAAUCAAGGACAACAGAAACACCCUUCAAUGAGUGAGCAGCUACUUUUUUCUCGGAACAAUGCCACAAGCAAAUUAGGGGUAUUGUAAACAAGACUGGGUUUAUGUGUUUGACAUCAAUGCUACUACCCAAAAAAAAGAUUUAUCAUAGAUUACAGCAACAAAUCUGGCACUCUGACCUUGAAGUCAGUAAAACCAUAAGAGUUCUUCUGAAGCCAAUUAUAUGAAGAGCAUGUAUGUUUCAGAGCUACUGCAUCAGACCAAAAAAUGAGGUAGAUUCUUAGGUUUCUGAAACAAAAAACCCUCAGGCAGAUUUGAAGCAUGCAGUAAUGCCUGGAAUUAUUCAGAGGUGAAUGAGAAACCAAUGGAAUUCAUAAAUAAACAGAAGUACUGCUGUUCUGGCAACUCUUCUGGCACAGUCUGGAGGCUCAAGAUAUCAUCAAGAUUCUAUCCAUUCUUUUCCAUUCUAUCUCCUUUUGAAUAGUAUUGAAAGAGGAAUGAUACUGAAUAUUAAUGGUACCAACUAUGAAACAGGUGCAAUAAAGAAAUGAGAUAUUAUAAAAGACA